rnacentral:rRNA from 1 species
AAGUAUCUUCGGAUAUGAGUAGAGCGGCGGACGGGUGAGUAACGCGUAGGAAUCUACCUAGUAGAAGGGGAUAGCCCGGGGAAACCCGGAUUAAUACCGUAUACCUCCUUCGGGAGAAAGAAGGCCUCUCUUUGAAGCUUUCGCUACUAGAUGAGCCUGCGUAAGAUUAGCUUGUUGGUGAGGUAAAGGCUCACCAAGGCUACGAUCUUUAGCUGGUCUGAGAGGACGAUCAGCCACAUUGGGACUGAGACACGGCCCAGACUCCUACGGGAGGCAGCAGUGGGGAAUAUUGGACAAUGGGCGCAAGCCUGAUCCAGCCAUACCGCGUGUGUGAAGAAGGCCUUCGGGUUGUAAAGCACUUUAAGCAGGGAGAAAAAGUUAUAAGUUAAUACCUUAUAACCCUGAUGUUACCUGCAGAAUAAGCACCGGCUAAUU